rnacentral:rRNA from 1 species
CCCUUAGAUGCUCUGGGCCGCACGCGCGCUACACUGGUCGAUGCAACGAGUUUCUUUCCUUGGCCGACAGGCCUGGGCAAUCUUUGAACAUCGAUCGUGAUCGGGAUAGAUUCUUGUAAUUUUUGAUCUUAAACGAGGAAUUCCUAGUAAACGCAAGUCAUCAGCUUGCAUUGAUUACGUCCCUGCCCUUUGUACACACCGCCCGUCGCACCUACCGAUUGAAUGGUCCGGUGAAGGCUCCGGAGGCGUCUUUCUCAAUGUUUAUUCGGCGAGAUUGGUGCCAAAGUUGAAUGAACCUUACCAUUUAGAGGAAGGUGAAGUCGUAACA